UACGUAGGGUGCAAGCGUUAAUCGGAAUUACUGGGCGUAAAGCGUGAGCAGGCGGUUUUGUAAGUCUGUCGUGAAAGCCCCGGGCUCAACCUGGGAAUUGCGAUGGAGACUGCAAGGCUUGAAUCUGGCAGAGGGGGGUAGAAUUCCACGUGUAGCAGUGAAAUGCGUAGAGAUGUGGAGGAACACCGAUGGCGAAGGCAGCCCCCUGGGUCAAGAUUGACGCUCAUGCACGAAAGCGUGGGGAGCAAACAGG
rnacentral:rRNA from 1 species